GAUGAACGCUAGCGGGAGGCCUAACACAUGCAAGCCGAGCGGUAUUUGUCUUUCGGGACAGAGAGAGCGGCGUACGGGUGCGGAACACGUGUGCAACCUGCCUUUAUCAGGGGGAUAGCCUUUCGAAAGGAAGAUUAAUACCCCAUAAUAUAUCUGAUGGCAUCAUUAGAUAUUGAAAACUCCGGUGGAUAGAGAUGGGCACGCGCAAGAUUAGAUAGUUGGUGAGGUAACGGCUCACCAAGUCAGUGAUCUUUAGGGGGCCUGAGAGGGUGAUCCCCCGAACGGGUACUGAGACACGGACCAGACUCCUACGGGAGGCAGCAGUGAGGAAUAUUGGACAAUGGGUGCGAGCCUGAUCCAGCCAUCCCGCGUGAAGGACGACGGUUCUAUGGAUUGUAAACUUCUUUUAUACUGGGAUAAACCUACUCUCGUGAGGGUAGCUGAAGGUACAGUAUGAAUAAGCACCGGCUAACCCCGUGCCAGCAGCCGCCGCAG
rnacentral:rRNA from 1 species